ACGCUCGACACCUACGGGAGGCAGCAGUGAGGAAUAUUGGUCAAUGGACGCAAGUCUGAACCAGCCAUGCCGCGUGCAGGAUGACGGCUCUAUGAGUUGUAAACUGCUUUUGUACGAGGGUAAACGCAGAUACGUGUAUCUGUCUGAAAGUAUCGUACGAAUAAGGAUCGGCUAACUCCGUGGCAGCAGCCGCGGUAAUCUGAGCGGCUGGCAAGGC
rnacentral:rRNA from 1 species